UAAUAUUUUGUAAACGUGUGUCAAGGACUUACCUGGUUUUACAGGUUGUGUGAAAGUGGUGACUGGCACUGUUGCCUCGUCACUUCCUCCACUGCUGAGGCAGGAGUCAUAUGUUUGAGGUCGAGGAAUAAUACGUUUGGCUGUGUCUGGAGCGGUGACAGGUAACACCCGUCAUCAUGGGAAGAAAACUCUUUUGUUGGAUAUUACUGCUUGGACAUGCUGUCUCUGCACAAGCUCAAAGCACCACUACUGCAGCUCCAACUACAACAACUACUGCAGCUCCAACCACCACAACUACUGCAGCUCCUACCACAACUACUGCAGCUCCAACCACCACAACUACUGCAGCUACAACUACAACCACUGCACCCUCAACCACCACAACUACUGCAGCUCCAACCACAACAACUACUGUAGCUCCAACAACAACAGCUACUGCUGCUCCAACCACAACAACUACUGCAGCUCCUACCACCACAACUACUGCAGCUCCAACCACCACAACUACUGCAGCUCAAACCACCACAACUACUGCAGCUCUAACCACAACAACUACUGCAGCUCCAACCACAACAACCACUGCAGCUCCAACCACCACAACCACUGCAGCUCCAACCACCACAACUACUGCAGCUCCAACCACAACAACUACUGCAGCUCCAACCACCACAACUACUGCAGCUCUAACCACAACAACUACUGCAGCUCCAACCACCACAAUUACUGCAGCCCCAACCACAACAACUACUGCAGCUCCAACCACAACAAUUACUGCAGCUCCAACCACCACAACUACUGCAGCGCCAACCACCACGAUUACUGCAGCUCAAACCACAACAACUACUGCUGCUCCAACCACAACAACUACUGCAGCGCCAACCACCACAAUUACUGCAGCUCAAACCACAACAACUGCUGCAGCGCCAACCACAACAACUACUGCAGCGCCAACCACCACAACUACUGCGGCUCCAACCACCACAACUACUGUGGCUCCAACCACAACAACUACUGCAGCUCCUACCACAACAACUACUGCAGCUCCUUCCACAACAACUACUGCAGCUCCUACCACCACAAAUACUGCAGCUCCAACCACCACAACUACUGCAGCUCAAACCACCACAACUACUGCAGCUCUAACCACAACAACUACUGCAGCUCCAACCACAACAACCACUGCAGCUCCAACCACCACAACCACUGCAGCUCCAACCACCACAACUACUGCAGCUCUAACCACAACAACUACUGCAGCUCCAACCACCACAACUACUGCAGCUCUAACCACAACAACUACUGCAGCUCCAACCACCACAAUUACUGCAGCCCCAACCACAACAACUACUGCAGCUCCAACCACAACAAUUACUGCAGCUCCAACCACCACAACUACUGCAGCGCCAACCACCACGAUUACUGCAGCUCAAACCACAACAACUACUGCUGCUCCAACCACCACAACUACUGCAGCGCCAACCACCACAAUUACUGCAGCUCAAACCACAACAACUGCUGCAGCGCCAACCACAACAACUACUGCAGCGCCAACCACCACAACUACUGCGGCUCCAACCACCACAACUACUGUGGCUCCAACCACAACAACUACUGCAGCUCCUACCACAACAACUACUGCAGCUCCUUCCACAACUACUGCAGCUCCAACAACCACAACUACUGCAGCUCCAACCACCACAACUACUGCAGCUCCAACCACAACAACUACUGCAGCUACAACCACCACAACUACUGCAGCUACAACCACCACAACUACUGUAGCUCCAACCACCACAACUACUGCAGCUCCAACCACCACAACUACUGUAGCUCCAACCACCACAACUACUGCAGCUCUAACCACAACAACUACUGCAGCUCCAACCACCACAACUACUGCAGCUCAAACCACAACAACUACAGCAGCUACAACCAGCACAACUACUGCAGCUACAACUACAACCACUGCACCCUCAACCACCACAACUACUGCAGCUCCAACCACCACAACUACUGUAGCUCCAACCACCACAACUACUGCAGCUCCAACAACAACAACUACUGCAGCUCCAUUCACCACAACUACUGCAGCUCUAACCACAACAACUACUGCAGCUCCAACCACCACAACUACUGCAGCUCCAACCACCACAACUACUGCAGCUCUAACCACAACAACUACUGCAGCUCCAACCACCACAAUUACUGCAGCUCCAACCACAACAACUACUGCAGCUCCAACCACAACAAUUACUGCAGCUCCAACCACAACAACUACUGCAGCUCCAACCACCACAAUUACUGCAGCUCCAACCACAACAACUACUGCAGCUCCAACCACAACAAUUACUGCAGCUCCAACCACCACAACUACUGCAGCGCCAACCACCACAAUUACUGCAGCUCAAACCACAACAACUACUGCAGCUCCAACCACCACAAUUACUGCAGCUCCAACCACAACAACUACUGCAGCUCCAACCACAACAAUUACUGCAGCUCCAACCACAACAACUACUGCAGCUCCAACCACCACAAUUACUGCAGCUCCAACCACAACAACUACUGCAGCUCCAACCACAACAAUUACUGCAGCUCCAACCACCACAACAACUGCAGCGCCAACCACCACAAUUACUGCAGCUCAAACCACAACAACUACUGCAGCUCCAACCACCACAACUACUGCAGCUCCAACUACCACAACUACUGCAGCGCCAACCACCACAACUACAGCGGCGCCAACCACCACAACUACUGCAGCGCCAACCACCACAACUACUGUGGCUCCAACCACAACAACUACUGGGGCUCCUACCACAACAACUACUGCAGCUCCUACCACAACUACUGCAGCUCCAACAACCACAACUACUGCAGCUCCAACCACCACAACUACUGCAGCUACAACCACCACAACUACUGCAGCUACAACUACAACUACUGCACCCUCAACCACCACAACUACUGCAGCUCCAACUACCACAACUACUGCAGCUCCAACUACAACUACUGCACCCCCAACCACCACAACUACUGCAGCCCCAACCACCACAACUACUGCAGCCCCAACCACCACAACUACUGCAGCUCCAACCACCACAACUACUGCAGCUCCAACCACCACAACUACUGUAGCUCCAACCACCACAACUACUGCAGCUCCAACCACCACAACUACUGCAGCUCCAACCACCACAACUACUGCGGCUCCAAACACUACAACUACUGCAGCUACAACCACCACAACUACUGCAGCUCCAACCACCACAACUACUGCAGCUCUAACCACCACAACCACUGCAGCUCCAACCACCACUACUACUGCAGCCCCAACCACUACAACUACUGUAGCUCCAACCACCACAACUACUGCAGCUACAACCACCACAACUACUGCAGCUUCAACUACAACUACUGCACCCCCAACCACCACAACUACUGCACCUCCAACUACCACAACUACUGCAGCUACAACUACAACUACUGCACCCCCAACCACCACAACUACUGCACCUCCAACUACUACAACUACUGCAGCUACAACUACAACUACUGCACCCCCGAUCACCACAACGACACCUAUCACCCUGACCACCAUGACUACAACCACACCAGUAAUCACCCCAAACCAAGGUUUGGAGGCAGUGGCAAUUCUUCAGGUGAAGUUAACUUCAAUCGGUGUUAUCAGCAAUGGAACCAUUACUCAUCUUGUUGAACAGUUUGUGAGGGGGCAGCUCUUGAAUGGAACCAACCACACCACAGUCAGUGUGACAAACAUUCAAAGGGUUAGAGUCGUCCCAUAGAAGCGUCAUGCAACUGCAAGUAAAAUUGAAUGUAUGAAGAAAGCAAUUCAAGGGGGUGCUGACUGUAUUAAUAAAAUGUCAUCUUCAUCUCAACUACACUGCAGAGGCUAAGAUUUUAGACUGUCUCCCCUGUGCAUCUUUAUCAUCAUUUUGUUCUAUUAAAUCUCAAAAACAAAACAAAGAGAGAGUCAGAAAAAGUCAACAUUAAGAUCCAUUUUCGCUCUCUAUAGUCCCCAAACAAUAUUUUCAUCAUUACACUGCUGGCUGUGUUUCCCAUGUGAAUGGAAAUGCCAUUUAUCUCAAGUGUUCAGUAGCGAAGAAAGGCUCAAACCAAGCAAUCUGAUGCAUCAAAGAGGUUUCUUAAGAAGUGUCAGUAAUCCAAAUACUUUGUAACUGGAGCUGCUUCACUGAGAAGCUUGGCAACCAGGAAACUACCAUGCUGUUGUGUAAUAGUUGCAAGACAGUUUACUGAUUUGGCAACGAUGACUUUGCCUCAUACCAUUUGCAUAGGGUAUAUAUAUAUGUAAUCCGGGAAGUGAAUUAAGUAUUUUUUCCUAUACGUUACAGCUGUGUCUCCUGGAUGUGUCUCCAUUCAAUCCUCUUGAGACUCAUGAUUGUCCAUGGUUAAGUUUGGUUUUGCUCUCUGUUUCAGUGUGGUCAAACCUGCUUUUCCUGGUCAUGAGCUAACUAGUGGAAAGUACUGAAAUGUAUAUAGAUUGUGACAUAUUAAAGCAGGAUAAACGUUUGUUGAUCCUGAACUUGGACCAGUAUGGCUAUUAUGUUACUGCAAGGGAAUGCAGCAAUACUAAGUGAGAAAAAAAAAGGCAAUGCAGCAAUGAUUUUUUAAAUUAUUUAUUUGUAUACCUGCUGAUUGAUGUUUUUUCUUCUAUCACUGAUUAGAAAAUUGUUUUCAAAUGGUUAUUUUUGCAUAAAAUUUUUUUUUGUUGUUUUUUAGAUGUUUAGAUUUCAUUAUUUUUGAAAAUGAUUAUUAGGUGAAAUUCUGUCUGUAUCUCCAAUCGGACUUUUCCCUUAAAAGGCACAAUAUGCAAGAACUGGCCACUUGUUGAAUUUAUAUUCUAAAAAAAUAUGCAUAUUUCCUGAGUAACUGCUAACUGAUGUUGCCAUUUGCUUGUUAGCUUCAAGCCCCAAGAAGGAGCGCUGGACUCUGAAGUCAGUUUUCAUAGUGGCCAAACCGUGUAAUUACAUGGUCACGUGAUGCGCUAUUUUAUCCUCAUUCAAGUUUGCUGGGUGUCAAGGUGGACUCUUGAUGCUAAAGAAAACACAGACACCAAUAAUGAUUCCAAUGUCAUUAAUAUAUUGGCUGAUAAACUUGGAGUUUAUCACAGCUGGAACCACCUGUCAGAAUGAAACAAUCAUUUUGGACCGACAAACAUUUUAAAAUUAUUAAUUUACAAUCAUGUUUUAAGGAAAAGAGAAUUUUAUUUUGCACCUUUCUACAAGCUCUGUAGAUGUAUUACUUUUAAGAAAAUGAUUUGUCUACAUAAAAUUUUUUAUCAAUUUAAGACUAGAUGUAUGACAUAAUAUGCACAGUUGCAUUGUUCCAUGUUGUAUUAUGCCCUUCUGAAGGAUGAAUAAAGAGACGUGUAUUUGAGGUGCCAUUCUUGUCUUGUUUAAUAGAUCCUCUGAAAAUAAACUUUAUUCAACAUUUGAUUUGAGAGCAUAUAUUAUAUAUUAUUUGUUGAGAUCCACCUUACAAGAUUAUGUUAAAAAGACAAAACACGAUAAUAUCAAGUGAAAAUUUGCCAUCAGUUGUGUUCAAUUUUUCUUCAAUAUUUGAAAUUAUAAACAUCAGCAGAGACACGAUGCAAGACAUUCUGUGAGACGUUAAAAAGAUGCAGUCUGUAAAUGUUGAAGGUUCAUGACUUUGGAACCUGCGUCAAUGGUGUUUUGGAAUAACUGUUAAAAGGAUAAGAUAAAACAUGGACGACAGUGUUAAGAAUUCAUGAGGGUUGCCUGAAAGUACAGUCGUCACUACCAUUCUUAUUUUACAAAGGCUAAAACUCUCUUCUCUUUCUUCUGCUCUUCUUAAAGACAUUAUUGUUCCCGUGGCAUUUCUAGAUUUACACUGAUAUUUCACACCUGACGGAGAACAAAGCUUCAAACAAUAAAACAGCAGAGUUUAGGCUUUAACUGAACCGACAAACAGGAGCGCUUCCGGUUUAUAAACCUGUCCUCGCUGGUGGGCGGCUGUCCUCGCCAUCUCCUUCUGUCUGAAAACGUGAAGGAUGGUGCGUGGCUUAGUUCAGCAACAUUAACAUCCUAAGUUUCAAGUCACUCGUGCAGCUGUCCUCCCAGCUGAUCAUCUUUGUCCGUGCAGCUCUCUGUCCUGGCCUCCGGACAGAACUCCUUCCUUUAAAAAGAAUCAACACAUUCAGGAAAAUCAGUUAAACGGUUUAUCAUUUAAAAAAAUGUUUUGUCGUAGGAAGAGCUCACGCUUCUUACCUGUUCACCUCAGGUGUCUUGCUUGUUGAUCUCGCAGAUUCUGCCUGCUGAGAGAAGAGUGUUUUAACUUUUGUGGAAGAAAUAUUUAAAAGAUAAAAGAUCCCAUCCAUACAUGUUUUUAGGCAUACUAAAGGUUUCUAAUGUGUGUCUGAAAAUAAUAAUAAUAAAAUAUAUAUAAAUAUACAAAAUGUUAAUUGUAUAUCAUGGCAGAUGAUUUUAAAUUUUUAAUCAAAUCUUAAAAUUUGUGAUUUUCACACUGCUGCUUUGGCACAUACCAUCUGAAAUAGCAUGUACAGCAAGAAUCACACUCUUCAAAUGUGGUACAGAGAUGGAUUCCAUUGCGAACUCAAGUGGAUUAAAUAUGAAAAUGGUCAAGUCACAUUGUUGGAGUAAAUACGGAGCAGCUGUGGUUUACCUGUGGGUAGUCCUGGUGGCUGAGGAUAUACAGAGCACCAUGUCCGGAGAUCCUGACCACCUGCUCUCCAGUCCAGCCUCCUGCAGGGGUGUCUGGGACGUACAACACCGUGGAACCGUGCAAACACUUCAAGCCAGAAACCAUAAGAUAUAAAUGAACAAAAGAAAAUGUAGAGGAAUCUGAGGGAAACUUUAUUAUAGAUAAACUUAAUCCUAAAUUCAACAUAAAUUUGAGGACCAGCUCUUAAUUCUUAGAACACAACAGAACAGGAACAAGUAAAUUAUCUAUAUGCUCAAGUCAAACUAUCUGAACACACACUGACCUGUAGAUAUGUGAAGGAGAACCUUUGGCCCGCCCGUUUCACAAAACGCCCCCAGAAGAGCAAAGCCAGCCGACUCUGUACCUGAUUGGCCGUCCAACCGCAGUCAAUGGUGAUGCGAGCGGUCAUCCCCAUGGCCGCUAGAGCUGCUUGUUCUUUGCCCUGUGGAACAGUGUGCCUGGAAUAACGGAAAGGAAUGUUUACUUUAUCGAGAUAUUUUUAUUGGAUAGUCUAAAAUCUGUAAACAUCAGCCAUGUAUGAAUACGUCAUCUGUCACCAGAGGACAUGGUCUCAAAUUACCAUGUGAAAACACACUGCGAAACUCAUUACUUCAGAGAGAUAACACAAGCUUGCUCUCACCGCAGGAGAGAUGGCCCUCCAAACUGUACACUAGAAUACG
ensembl:lncRNA